CUUUGCGAACAGUCAGAGAAUCAUCUCUAUGAACUGGGGGAGCAGCAUAUACAGGCACAGCCUGUCUAACAGUGACAGAAGGAGCUAUUCGUACAGCUGGAGCCCGCAUCAUCUGAGGUGGAAGAGCAGAUGGUGGUGGGUGUGGAGGUGCUGAGAAACAAGGCACUGUAGUUCUUACUGUCACUGGUGGUGCAAUGCCACGACAAGAAGUCCUAUAUUGUCGGAUAGGAACAUAGGGAGCAGCUCCAGCAGCAGGGAAUUUCUGAGGUCGAACAACACGUCCUUCUGAGCCAUACGGUUGUGGCUGUGCAGGUUUUUCAUUUGUUCCGGUCGAUGUUGGUCUGUGUCGAGACGCUGUCUUAGGGCAGAACAAGGGAAGAAUUUUUGAUGUAGUAGCAAGGGGAGGCUGUGGACUUGUUGGUCUAGUGUUCUGAACUGGGAACUUUCUUGCAAAUGGGAUUGGGGAAUCAAGAGUGCUCGCCAUGGCCAUCUUUUCCUUUAGGCGAUAAUUCAAUAAGGCUCGCGCUAUUGUAAUCUGUUCUAACUCAUCAUUAGUCUCUGGCUCAGAUGAAGAACUUGCAGUUUCUUUUGCCACUGGGAAAGACCAAAAAAGAAAAGUAAUUGACCUUCAGGAUAGGAGUUCCCGGGCAGAUAUUUCAGACACUGCUCAAUGAAAAAUUUAAACAAAUAUUCUGCAAAUUGUUUACAGAGAAUGUGGAGAAUGGUGAGCUAAUAUCUGACUAACGAGCUCAUCAAAACGUAAAUAAUGGUUAGGCCAGCCGCUAGCCUUGUGAAACACAGCUGUAUAACAUAUAUACUAGUUAUGCACUCCAUAAAUUUGAAGUCUUAGUUUGUGAACAUUAAAAAACGAUAUGAUUCUACACAGAGGACAUUGGAGGAAGAGGGUUCGUGUAGUUUGGGACUGAGGCUUACCUCAGUUCAAUUAUUAUAUUCCAUCACACAGACGGUUCAUCAACAAGAAAGCUUAAGACUGAAACUUACAUUGUUUUAGAGAUGUCCACGCUGCCAUAGCUGCAUUCUUCUCAGCUUGCUUCUUGUUCUUGGCAGGUUCCCCUGUAAAUGCUAUCCCAGCCAACUCUACGAUCCCAGUAAAAACGGGCAGGUGUCCGAGGCCCGACCUGAUUGUUGUAUAUUGCGGCAAUGGAGCUCCAACUCUUUGUGCAAUUUCCUGUAACAGGUUCUUGUACACCCCCGUCUCAUCCUGAACACACAAAAACCAAUUGACAUCACGUCAACAAAACUAGAUGACCGCAGAAGCAAUCGUAGGGUGGCUCAAGAAUAUCUUAUGACCCAAAUACCCCUAGCAGAUGAAGUUAAAGUUAGUAAACAAGCAGAGAGUCAUCAGAAACGCAAGUACAGCUGGUUUCCAGAUAAAACGACAAACAAAUCAAAGAUUAGUGCUUUAGCUUUUAGUAAACACUCAAUCCUACUCUUACUUCUCUCGGCCAGAAACUUCCCAUUUUCCCAUUGUUUAUUAUAUAUUCGAAAUAAAUGAUUAAAUAAAAACGAAUCACAUUAUCGUCGUCACCCAAGUCAAGAGAAAAUCCCACUCAAAUAUGCAACCGCAAGCACACACAAAUCCAUCCAGGGGCAUUUUCGUCGUUUCCCAGCGAACCCACUCACCGGCGAUCAAAAGUUAACCAACUGAUGUGAUUGAUCGUCAGCAAGAUUUAGCUGAAUUCUAUUGGUCAAUUUUAGUGAUCAGCUAAGAAGAGAAAUGAAGAAGAAGGAUAGAGAGAGAGAGAACAUCAACAGACCAGAAUCCUGGCGGCGAGGGAAGGGGAGGGACCACGGUGGGAGAGGGAGCUGAGAGCGACUUCGGCGGCGGAGUGUUCGGCCUGACGGAGAGUAGAACAAUAGUGAGGGCUCUCGAAGAUCUCGCCGUUGAAGUUAACGGUGGCCUUGAAUCUGGGCGCGUGGUCAGGACCUUCCCGAAUGCACGUGUAGGAGG
rnacentral:lncRNA from 1 species